rnacentral:snoRNA from 1 species
GGUCCCUGACCUGGGUAGAGUAGCAUCUGGUUGGUGGUGCACAUCCCAUAUCAGUCAGGGACAAAGCAACCCCUUGUUCAUCCCAGCUUGGCUUUUGGUCUGUGCCCAUGAUUGGUUCAUGCCUUGGACACAUGA